rnacentral:rRNA from 1 species
AAAAUUGGUUUAAUUUAAGCCAUAAAAAUAAAAGAAAAAAUCCACAUAUAAAUUUUGAUUAUUUUUUUAUUUUAUUAUUUAUAUAAUAUACUUUAGUGGAUAAAAUUUUAAAUUUUAUAUAAAUAAAUUAAAGUUUUUUCUUAAAAUUAGGAUAAAUCACAGUGCCAGCAUCCGCGGUUAUUCUGUUUAAUAUUAUUUUAAAAUAUUAAUUGAGUUUUAUUAAUAUUCUUAUUAAGUAAAAUAAAAAAGAAUUUAAAUUAUAUAAAACAUUUUUAUUUAAAAUGAAAAUUUUAAUAAUAAGAUUAGAUACCUUAGUAUUUUUUAUAUAAUAAAUUUUAGUUAAACUAAAUAAAUUUGGCAGUCUUUUAAUCCUUACUGGGGGUUGUGUAUAUUAAAAGGAUGAUCCACCUAUUAAUUUACCUUAUUUUAAGUUGGUGUACGUCUGAUUAUUUAUUAAUAUAAAAAAAUAUUAGUAUAAAAUUAAUUUAUUUUAAGUUAAGUCUAUGUGCCACUAUAUUAAGGGUUAUAUGCUACACAUUAAUAAUUUUAUUGAUUUGUAACAGUUAUUAAUUUAGGACUAGUAAGUAUAAUCAAAAUUUAAUAUGUUGAUUUUAAAAAGGUUUAAGAGAGGUACAUACCGCCCGUCAAUUUCGGUGAAUGCUGAGAUAAGUCGUAACAUGGUAACUUUUGGGGAACUAGAAGUUUGUAAA